UUCCAAGCCCAAGACCUACUGAUUCUGCAAUUGUGGCGUCGCUGUUUCGGAUGUGGGCGCCCACCCAUAAUAGUCAGAGAGAACAAGGCUGGCAAGUAACCCCACACCUCUCUUUCUCUACAAGAACUUAUAAGCAACGUCAAGGACAGCAGGCCCUGCAUCCGGGCCACUUGGGAAGCGCCCUCUCCCUUAGCCACACCCCCGAGUCUCCGCUCUUUGAUCUUGGAGGAGGGACUUUGCUGUGCAUCUAGCCUCAGUGAAGAUUCUGAUUUGUGAUGACUCUGCUCCUGCUCUUCCAAAUGAGGGUGGUAUCAGGGCUCCACCCAUCAGGAGAUAAGGGAAAUAGAAUGCUCUCUUAGAGUCUCCAAGUGCAAGGUUGCCCUCAUCAGGCCACUCUGGUCCGAGGCACCCAGUCUUUCCCAGCUAUCCUGCACUGGCUCUGUGCUGGCCAAGCUGCUAGCUGACAAUUUGGCUUUGCAGGACGCCACCUUCAGGGACACAGCGCCUGGCGGGAUUCACACCUCCAGGAGCCUUGGCACUUGGAACCUUCACUGCAAAUUGAUAUGCUGAUCAUGGCUUAGAUGCCCAUUCUCGAUUUCAUUGUAGGAGACCCUGGCUUCCCCCGUCACAGAGCUAAUGUGCACCUGGCCCAGGAGCAAAAGACGCUGAUGAGAAAACUAUCAGGAGCUGGAGGAGCCACCCGCCUGGUUGCUGCCUCAGCCCACAAGGUGGACCAGUGGAUGUUCCACAACAGCACCUGCUGGCCCUCAGUGGCUUUCUGAGAGUAAAACCCAAAGCAUUCUUGCUUCACUGCUGCCUUCCUAGUCUCAUGUGGCUCAUGCUAGCCUAGGACUCUGUAGGGAAAGUAACUCUAGGAAACCAGUUCUAGCCUAGCCAAGGUGGUAAGUCCUUGUAUAGUGUAAAUGCAGUCACAGCCAUGAGUGAGAUACUCAGGGACUGUGUUGAGACAGAAAAGAUAGCCCUUCAAAGGAUGGGCAAAGGGUGGAAACCUACUGUGGAGAAGGGGAAAGAGGAAUGAGAGGGGUAGGGAGAGAAUGGAGAGAGGGGUAGAGUUUCAGGGUCUAAAUGUUUGUGAGAAGGUGAGUCCCUAAGUGAUGACGAUGACAAUGAUGAUGGGCGUGAUCCUGAAUUUAAUGACUGCUACCUGUGACACCAACCAGUCAGAACGGA